rnacentral:lncRNA from 1 species
CAAUCAAAAGCCUCCAGAGGACAGGGAAGCUAGCAUUCCUCCCCUAGAGACUGUACCAAGAGAUCUGACAGAUCUCCAAGAGGGGAGACUGACAGCCCCCAAAACAAAAUGAAAGGAGCAAGAGCACAGCCAAAUACGGGGAGCAAAGAAGGGGUAAACUCGAGCAAACUACAGAAAAAGAAGAAAGAAAUUACAAUAGACAGCUUCUGCACAGAAGGAUUAGUGUAAGAACAGAGCUGCACGUUGGAAAGAUCACUAACUCAAGUUGGAGAACGAGAAUUCAAAGCCCAAACUCUUUGACUUCAGGCAAUACAAAAAAGUAUUGUGGGCUGCAUGUUCGACCCUUUUGCUGUAAAAUUCUCAAGAACUGGGAGAUGUGGUAUUUGAGCUACAGUGAGUGAUCUUUGAAAAACCACAGAGAACAGAAGACCAGCCUUGUAGUAGGGGGAGUGCAAAUGUUGCCCCAAUUUUCAAACCAGGAAAGAUAAUAAAUUCUUUAAAGGAUAAG